rnacentral:rRNA from 1 species
UAGGGAAUCUUCCGCAAUGGACGAAAGUCUGACGGAGCAACGCCGCGUGAGUUAUGAAGGCUUUCGGGUCGUAAAACUCUGUUGUUAGGGAAGAACAAGUACGAGAGUAACUGCUCGUACCUUGACGGUACCUAACCAGAAAGCCACGGCUAACUACGUGCCAGCAGCCGCGGUAAUACGUAGGUGGCAAGCGUUAUCCGGAAUUAUUGGGCGUAAAGCGCGCGCAGGCGGUUUCUUAAGUCUGAUGUGAAAGCCCACGGCUCAACCGUGGACGGUCAUUGGAAACUGGGGAACUUGA